AAACCAAUCAGCAUGAAAUGUCUGUGAAGUCCAAUGAACAAAGCAACAAAUAGUGAUCAUCUAUUGAACACAGAUGAAAGAUUCAUCUCAAGGACAGUCUUCCUUAAUGCUCUGCUUGGCUCCCUGGCUGCACCGUCUCUGGAUCACCAUGAGUUCCAGUGCUGCCUGUUGUGUCAUGCACACACACACACCUUGUUCUCAUAGUGUGUUGGCUGGAUGGCAGAAAGAUCCUACACCACUAGCAUCACCCCCAUCUUCUGCCUUGGGUGAGUUCCUUCUGUCUUAGUGUGAACAUGGUAAAUGCUCAAUAAAUCAUUGCA
rnacentral:lncRNA from 1 species